CCGUGGCUGCAGGACAUAGAGAAAUCAAUCUCAAAUCAGUCAGGGAACUUCCUCCCUGCCAGCCAGCUUUCAUAGUGCCAGAAGGUUCGAUGCUGUGUGGGAGAGGAAAGACAUCAAUGGUCCUACCCAGGGCUGGACCCUACAGGCUACAAUACCUACCUGCCAGCCAGGCAUUGUGGGAGCGCCCUUAGCCACAUCUCUCAGCAGUGGAAGUGGGGCCAGCCAAUCUCCUUGCACUGCUGGCCAACAAUGACUGGGAGAAGCAGGCAAGACAUCUCUCAUCAUUUCUCUGUAGAAUGGACCACCUUGACACCAAGAGACCCGCUCCCAGCCAUGUCUCUUUCCUCCUGCUUCAGCCUCUGCCUACGUGUAACUCGGGGAGAGUGUCCAACGUACAGCUUGCACGAACAGGAUGAAUAAGGCAGACUAAACAACAGCAGCGUCUCCUCAAACUGGAAUUGAAAAAUCUCAAGACUUAGAAGUCCACCCGCAACUGGCUAGGGGUGAACUCGGAGUCUUGGCUGUGCUCCUUUCUCUAAGGCACAGCGCCCUCACAUGGCGCAGAAGGGCAGCACAGUCUUCCUGGGAAGCUGGCUCAGAAGACAGCUGUGAGGAGGCUCGGCAAUCACUCUGUGAGGACUUUCAAUCAAUGUUCUCCAGAUUUCCAGCCUGGGCUCCUUCACAGAUAGCUCCUCGCUGGAAACUUUACACCAAGAAGUAUAAACUCUGACCUCUCCAGAAACUCACGAAACCGCAGCAAAUGGGAUUCAGAUGUUUCCAUGUACAGUACAGGGAUGUGACCUAGACUUGAAACACUUUGGCAAAAACAGGAAAAAUGAUGUGGGCCUUUGAGUCCCUCCCAGAACAUGAUACAGCUCUGACCCAAGUCCUACAGGGAUCUGAGCCUUUCUUACCCUACUUAAGCCUCCUUGCCCACAGCCCACACUUCUGCCCCCGUUCCACGUUAACACCUACCAGGCCCCGCCAGUCUGUGCCUUUGCCUCCUUUUACCAAGGCUGCCAAUUUCUCCCAGCUAAGCAAAAGCAAACCAUACCCUAAAAUGAGACCUCAGAAAAUUCCCGAAAAUUAGGCUGCUCCCAGGAAAUUACAGCCACAGGUCCCCCGGCCUUGACCCAGUGCCAAGGAAGCAGAAACUCCACAGAAGUUAAUCUUGGGGUCACAGACUGUCCAGCUUUGCUGUUGGCUGUGUAAGUGGAGGCCAGAGAAUCGUGGGUGGUGAUAUACAAGGUAGGUGAAGGGGAUAACUUCUUUGGCCCCGGGUAGCCCGCCAAAAAAAAAAAAAAAAACAGUAUCAGAAGCCUCUAUCUCAGAGGUCUACUGUGACAAAAUACCGAGAAACAACAGUGAAUGGCAUGCUCUGAGCGACGCCAGGCUCUUCAGGGACAACCCAUCUGCCAGUCACGUGCUUUCCUUGGGGGCACCAUGGAGAAGCUGAGAAGAAUUUGGCUCGACA